GAUGAACGCUAGCGGCAGGCUUAAUACAUGCAAGUCGAGGGGUAACAGGUCCCGCAAGGGAUGCUGACGACCGGCAAACGGGUGCGGAACACGUACGCAACCUUCCCAAAACUGGUGAAUAGCCCCUCCGAAAGGAGGAUUAAUACACCGUAAGAUAAUGAGGUGGCAUCACUUUAUAUUAUAGCUACGGCGGUUUUGGAUGGCGUGCGCCUGAUUAGGUAGUUGGCGGGGUAACGGCCACCAAGCCUGCGAUCAGUAACUGGUGUGAGAGCACGACCAGUCACACGGGCACUGAGACACGGGCCCGACUCCGUACGGGAGGCAGCAGUAAGGAAUAUUGGUCAAU
rnacentral:rRNA from 1 species